ACGAAGGGGGCUAGCGUUGUUCGGAAUUACUGGGCGUAAAGCGCACGUAGGCGGAUUGCUAAGUCAGGGGUGAAAUCCCGGGGCUCAACCUCGGAACUGCCUUUGAUACUGACAGUCUUGAGUCCGGAAGAGGUGAGUGGAAUUCCUAGUGUAGAGGUGAAACUCGUGGAUAUGAGGAAGAGCACCAGUGGCGAGGGCGGCACACUGGUCCAGUACUGACGGUGAGGUGCGAAAGCGUGGGGAUCAAACAG
rnacentral:rRNA from 1 species